GACGAACGCUGGCGGCGUGCUUAACACAUGCAAGUCGAACGAAGUGGCGAACGGGUGAGUAACGCGUACUCAACCUGCCCUUCAGAGGGGGACAACAGUUGGAAACGACUGCUAAUACCGCAUACUGAAGGAGGGGAUUGCGUGUGAUUUGCUCGUUGGAGGGGUAACGGCCCACCAAGGCGAUGAUCAGUAGCCGGUCUGAGAGGAUGAGUGGCCAGAGUGGGACGGAGAAACGGGCCAGAGGCUUACGGGAGGCAGCAGCGGGGAAUCUUCCGCAAUGUACGAAAGCCUGACGGAGCAACGCCGCGUGAGUGAUGACGGCCGUCGGGUGGGAAAGCUCUGUUAAUCGGGACGCGGUACCGGAAUAGAAAGCCACGGCUAAAUACGUGCCAGCAGCCGCGGUAAUAC
rnacentral:rRNA from 1 species